rnacentral:rRNA from 1 species
GGCUCCCUACGGGGCGCAGCAGUAGGGGAUUUUCGUCAAUGGGCGCAAGCCUGAACGAGCGAUGCCGCGUGAGUGAAGAAGGCCUUCGGGUCGUAAAGCUCUGUUGCGGGGGAAAAAAGGCAGCAUCAGGAAAUGGGUGCUGACUGAUGGUGCCCCGCCAGAAAGUCACGGCUAACUACGUGCCAGCAGCCGCGGUAAUACGUAGGUGGCGAGCGUUAUCCGGAAUGAUUGGGCGUAAAGGGUGCGCAGGCGGUCCUGCAAGUCUGGAGUGAAACGCCUGAGCUCUACUC